CAUACAUGACCUAUAAUGGAGUUUUUAACCGGCACUCUGAUUUACCUCUAGUACUUACUUGAUGAUCAGACUGAGCAGGCAUCUGUUGUUCAUCUGUCUCAGAACCAGGGUACCAAAUCUCUUUUGUCUCCCAUGGCCAUUGGUCUCCCAUAUAAGUACCUCCACAUACAAAGCAGUUAGUUAUAUUAAGACUAUACUCUCAGCCAAAUCAAUACAUAGGUUCUUAACAUUAUG